AUUGAACGCUGGCGGCAUGCCCUACACAUGCAAGUCGAACGGCAGCACGGGAGCAAUCCUGGUGGCGAGUGGCGAACGGGUGAGUAAUAUAUCGGAACGUGCCCAGUCGUGGGGGAUAACGCAGCGAAAGCUGUGCUAAUACCGCAUACGAUCUACGGAUGAAAGCGGGGGACCGUAAGGCCUCGCGCGAUUGGAGCGGCCGAUAUCAGAUUAGCUAGUUGGUGGAGGAAAGGCCCACCAAGGCGACGAUCUGUAGCUGGUCUGAGAGGACGACCAGCCACACUGGAACUGAGACACGGUCCAGACUCCUACGGGAGGCAGCAGUGGGGAAUUUUGGACAAUGGGCGCAAGCCUGAUCCAGCAAUGCCGCGUGCAGGAUGAAGGCCUUCGGGUUGUAAACUGCUUUUGUACGGAGCGAAACGGUCUGCCCUAAUACGGUGGGCUAAUGACGGUACCGUAAGAAUAAGCACCGGCUAACUACGUGCCAGCCGCCGCCGUAA
rnacentral:rRNA from 1 species